CCGAUGUCCGAUUAGCUAGUUGGCGGGGUAAAGGCCCACCAAGGCGACGAUCGGUAGCUGGUNUGAGAGGAUGAUCAGCCACACUGGAACUGAGACACGGUCCAGACUCCUACGGGAGGCAGCAGUGGGGAAUAUUGGACAAUGGGCGCAAGCCUGAUCCAGCCAUGCCGCGUGGGUGAAGAAGGCCUUCGGGUUGUAAAGCCCUUUUGUUGGGAAAGAAAAGCAAUCGGUUAAUACCCGGUUGUUCUGACGGUACCCAAAGAAUAAGCACCGGCUAACUUCGUGCCAGCAGCCGCGGUAAUACGAAGGGUGCAAGCGUUACUCGGAAUUACUGGGCGUAAAGCGUGCGUAGGUGGUGAUUUAAGUCCGUUGUGAAAGCCCUGGGCUCAACCUGGGAA
rnacentral:rRNA from 1 species